rnacentral:rRNA from 1 species
GCCGCAGCUAACGCAUUAAGUGCCCCGCCUGGGGAGUACGGCCGCAAGGCUAAAACUCAAAGGAAUUGACGGGGGCCCGCACAAGCGGCGGAGCAUGCGGAUUAAUUCGAUGCAACGCGAAGAACCUUACCAAGGCUUGACAUGUUCUCGAUCGCCGUAGAGAUACGGUUUCCCCUUUGGGGCGGGUUCACAGGUGGUGCAUGGUUGUCGUCAGCUCGUGUCGUGAGAUGUUGGGUUAAGUCCCGCAACGAGCGCAACCCUCGUUCCAUGUUGCCAGCACUUCGGGUGGGGACUCAUGGGAGACUGCCGGGGUCAACUCGGAGGAAGGUGGGGACGACGUCAAAUCAUCAUGCCCCUUAUGUCUUGGGCUUCACGCAUGCUACAAUGGCCGGUACAAUGGGUUGCGAUACUGUGAGGUGGAGCUAAUCCCAAAAAGCCGGUCUCAGUUCGGAUUGGGGUCUGCAACUCGACCCCAUGAAGUCGGAGUCGCUAGUAAUCGCAGAUCAGCAACGCUGCGGUGAAUACGUUCCCGGGCCUUGUACACACCGCCCGUCAAGUCACGAAAGUCGGUAACACCCGAAGCCGGUGGCC